AGGACGAACGCUGGCGGCGCGCCUAACACAUGCAAGUCGAGCGAUAACCAGGGCUUGCCCUGGGGACAGCGGCGAACGGGUGCGUAACACGUGAGCAACCUGCCCCAAAGACCGGGACAACCCGAGGAAACUCGGACUAAUACCGGAUGCCCUCACCGGGCCGCAUGGUCUGGUGAGGAAAUGGAUUCCGCUUUGGGAUGGGCUCGCGGUCUAUCAGCUUGUUGGUGGGGUAACGGCCUACCAAGGCAACGACGGAUAGCUGGUCUGAGAGGACGAUCAGCCACACUGGGACUGAGACACGGCCCAGACUCCUACGGGAGGCAGCAGUGGGGAAUCUUGCGCAAUGGGGGAAACCCUGACGCAGCGACGCCGCGUGCGGGAUGAAGGCCUUCGGGUUGUAAACCGCUUUCAGCAGGGACGAAUUGACGGUACUGCAGAGAGCCGGCACUACGCGCCAGCAGCCGC
rnacentral:rRNA from 1 species